GGGGUUGUGGCUCAGUGGUAGAGCGCUCACCUAGCACGUGAGAGGCGCUGAGUUCGAUCCUCAGCUCCA
rfam:Ictidomys tridecemlineatus contig056502, whole genome shotgun sequence.